GGCUCACCAAGGCGAUGAUACGUAGCCGAACUGAGAGGUUGAUCGGCCACAUUGGGACUGAGACACGGCCCAAACUCCUACGGGAGGCAGCAGUAGGGAAUCUUCCACAAUGGACGCAAGUCUGAUGGAGCAACGCCGCGUGAGUGAAGAAGGCUUUCGGGUCGUAAAACUCUGUUGUUGGAGAAGAAUGGUCGGCAGAGUAACUGUUGUCGGCGUGACGGUAUCCAACCAGAAAGCCACGGCUAACUACGUGCCAGCAGCCGCGGUAAUACGUAGGUGGCAAGCGUUAUCCGGAUUUAUUGGGCGUAAAGCGAGCGCAGGCGGUUUUUUAAGUCUGAUGUGAAAGCCCUCGGCUUAACCGAGGAAGCGCAUCGGAAACUGGGAAACUUGAGUGCAGAAGAGGACAGUGGAACUCCAUGUGUAGCGGUGAAAUGCGUAGAUAUAUGGAAGAACACCAGUGGCGAAGGCGGCUGUCUGGUCUGUAACUGACGCUGAGGCUCGAAAGCAUGGGUAGCGAACAGGAUUAGAUACCCUGGUAGUCCAUGCCGUAAACGAUGAAUGCUAGGUGUUGGAGGGUUUCCGCCCUUCAGUGCCGCAGCUAACGCAUUAAGCAUUCCGCCUGGGGAGUACGACCGCAAGGUUGAAACUCAA
rnacentral:rRNA from 2 species